GACCUCGAAUCUGUUCAGACAAACUCGCUAAAUUGAAGCAUCUUAGUCAGCGAAGGAAAAGAAACCAAC
rnacentral:rRNA from 1 species